CGUAGCAAGCCAAUUUUUCCGUGUAAGCCCGAUAGUAUGCAAAGCUUUAUUAUUUAGAUAGUAUUGGGGGCUUGCCUAACCUUUUUAGCAACGAUCAUGUGUGAGCCCGUGCUUUUUUAUAUAAUGGUAGCUACGCCCCUGUCAGCCUGUUUCAGCCUUUA